rnacentral:rRNA from 1 species
GACGAACGCUGGCGGCGUGCUUAACACAUGCAAGUCGAACGGAAAGGCCCUGCUUUUGUGGGGUGCUCGAGUGGCGAACGGGUGAGUAACACGUGAGUAACCUGCCCUUGACUUUGGGAUAACUUCAGGAAACUGGGGCUAAUACCGGAUAGGAGCUCCUGCUACAUGGUGGGGGUUGGAAAGUUUCGGCGGUUGGGGAUGGACUCGCGGCUUAUCAGCUUGUUGGUGGGGUAGUGGCUUACCAAGGCUUUGACGGGUAGCCGGCCUGAGAGGGUGACCGGCCACAUUGGGACUGAGAUACGGCCCAGACUCCUACGGGAGGCAGCAGUGGGGAAUAUUGCACAAUGGGCGGAAGCCUGAUGCAGCAACGCCGCGUGCGGGAUGACGGCCUUCGGGUUGUAAACCGCUUUCGCCUGUGUCGAAGCGUGAGUGACGGUAAUGGGUAAAGAAGCACCGGCUAACUACGUG